CACAAACGUCGUCGCGUACACACGCUCGUAUUGCCCCGUAUAUACAAUCGUAUCCCCGCAUUAAUCCCACGCCGUGCGUCCGUCUCAUAUCGCGAGCGCCGGAACACAUACGCAAACCGCACGCCGCCGCCGUCGAUUCAGAAAAAUCGAGACAUUUAUCAAACGACAAUCGCCACUCGGCAAGCUAGCGCGCAAAGUACGCCCCAGCUACUGACUUUAUUAUCACAACAUACCGGCGCGUACGCAUAAUAAACAUUUUAAAGCCGGCUGCAUUCAUUGCACACCGCGCGCGCUCCUUCAGACUCGCGCUCACAGAGCGGCUCCUCCACACUCCACGACUCCGCACUCAUUGUGAGUUCGUUGCCGCAUAAGCUCGCGCGCUCCGCAAUACGAAUGAACGAUAAAUAACCGCUCGCAACUGACUUCGAAAAGUGUUAAACACUGUGUCAAACGCGCAACCUUCUUAUCUCUCAUUAACGUUGCCAGCGCACUUCUAACUAAAUACAAAAUAAAUCACCCGCGCUCGUUUGCUCGUUGGCAGCGGGGAAGUCCGGAGGAGUUUUGUUUGUUUUAAAUGUUACUAGUUUAUUAGCGUGUGUGUGUUGAACGCGCAAAGCGAAAAGGCCGCCGCUAUGAUGCUUUACGAGGCAGUGCAUCUGCAGCAAUCGGAGGCGUACUACGAUUAUACCAACCCAACCACGGCGAAGAUGAAGGAACGCGAACGUGUAAAGGUGCAACGCACCAAGAGUCUCAGCAACGUGCAGCGCUUCAUCAAUCAACAGCAGGACAUCUCGCGCAGGGGUAGUUACGUCGUCGGGCAAAAAUUACGCGAGUCCAAGUGGUUCAAUCAUGAUGAGCUGAAAGUCUUCUGUGCGGUGGUGGAAACUGGAUUCAUUGUGCAGCGGAAGGAUGACAUCAAUGAUGAGCUCGAAUUCGGCAUUGCCGUUUGGAAUACCGGCGAAGAAAAGAGUAAAAAUCCGGAACAAAUAAAAAUCUACGCGUUGCAUCCACACAAAAACAACUUUCGCGUGGGACAAUUCGACUUGCUCACAUUCUGGCCGCUCGGCACAAAGCUGCGCAUCUACAAUCAUUGUGAUAAGACGGAAACGCCGCACAGUGAGGAUGUCAUCCGCAAUCAAAUCGACUAUGCGGAAGCAACCAAACAAAAAUGGCACAACUCCGAACAUUUCACCUAUUGGUGUCGCUACGGUCCGAUACAAAUCAAUCAACGCGUACGAAACAUGUUGCGCAAAAUAGGUCAAGCGAUGUCACUGUUGUUAAUACUAAGCGGCAAAGGUAUAUUAGCACGCGACGUUGGUGCGAAAAUAGCGCCCGCCAGGAGAUUUAACGCCUCCUGACCGGCUGCUGUCAGUGAUGAAUUAAAUUGUCGAAUGGAAAUCAAUUGAAAACUGAAUGAUUCACGGUCGUAUAUUUGUGGAAUGACUGACGCCAAGUGGGGGAGCUUUGGACUUAAUUCUGGACUGCUCCUUAUCAAAAAGCGUAUACGACGCCUGACGAAUUCGAAAUGAAUGCGACAGUGACGUUUUUACGACGAGAAAAGUGCAAUUUUCGUCAUGUAUUGUUUAAUUUAUGCGCAACAAAUCGCUGCCGGCUGCGUCACAGUGAAAACACAAUUGGUUACGUGUUGGGGCAAGCGUUUAGUCAUCAUUUGAAAUGAAAGUUGGAAGUAAUUUCCACACCGAGUGAAAUUUUUCUCAUGUACUUUGUUGCCUCGCAGUUUUAUUGACUGUGAUUUAUGGUGGUUUUCUUAAACACCUUGUAUACCUUGUUGCGCGAGUUGUGAGACGUAUCGUUAUAAAAAAUGUAAAUAUAUUUAAACGUUAUAUUUUACGUCAUUGAUGUGUUCAGGAAAAGCUCAAAAUGAAAGCUAUGAAACGUUUAAAAUAUCAAUGCAUUUAGAACUUUUCUAUAAAGACACAUUAGUUGACAAUGUAUUUUAACUUAUGCCCAGUUAUUCUGUGACAUAACUAAUCAUUAUGAUUACGAAAUGAAUAUUAUGUUUAUACAAAACCAAUAUUAUACUGUUUAUAGAAAGAAUAUAUUACUAACUUUGGACCUAGA